AAGAUUUACGAAUUUCAAGGGCUGGAAUGUAAAUUUGACAUUUUGAUACACUACUGGUUAUUACAGCGUAUUCAUCUCUUAGGACAAACUGAAGACACUCUGUUGUGAAGGAACCUUAAACGACUUUCUGGGAGAGGCAGCUUUCCUUUGGACAGGUUCUGAAUCAUCACCAUACCUCUUCCUCCUGAAAUACAGCUAUCUAGAAGAGCCAAAUGUAGAUGGGAGGACAGUUUAAAGUAAUGAGCUAAUCACAGUUAAUUUUCUUAGUAUUUACUGUAAUAACAUUAAUUUUGAUGAACCCCUCUGUUAUUAAUGUGAAUGUCAAAAGUACUUCUAUAGCAAUUCCACUUGGAUUCCAUAUUAAUUAACUGGGCUGUUAAUCUAAAAUGUUACUGCAGAAAUAUAAUGGAACAUAAC
rnacentral:lncRNA from 1 species